rnacentral:rRNA from 1 species
GAUUUUAGCUAUAAAGUGAGUGGCGAACGGGUGAGUAACACGUGGGUAACCUGCCCAGAAGUGGGGGAUAACACCUGGAAACAGAUGCUAAUACCGCAUAACAAAGUAAACCGCAUGGUUUACUUUUAAAAGAUGGCUUCGGCUAUCACUUCUGGAUGGACCCGCGGCGUAUUAGCUAGUUGGUGAGAUAAAGGCUCACCAAGGCAGUGAUACGUAGCCGCCUGAAGGGUAAUCGGCCACAUUGGGACUGAGACACGGCCCAGACUCCUACGGAGGCAG